rnacentral:rRNA from 1 species
UUAAGCGACUAAGCGUACACGGUGGAUGCCCUGGCAGUCAGAGGCGAUGAAGGACGUGCUAAUCUGCGAUAAGCGUCGGUGAGGUGAUAUGAACCGUUAUAACCGGCGAUUUCCGAAUGGGGAAACCCAGUGUGUUUCGACACACUAUCAUUAACUGAAUCCAUAGGUUAAUGAGGCGAACCGGGGGAACUGAAACAUCUAAGUACCCCGAGGAAAAGAAAUCAACCGAGAUUCCCCCAGUAGCGGCGAGCGAACGGGGAGGAGCCCAGAGCCUGAAUCAGUGUGUGUGUUAGUGGAAGCGUCUGGAAAGGCGCGCGAUACAGGGUGACAGCCCCGUACACAAAAAUGCACAUAUUGUGAGCUCGAUGAGUAGGGCGGGACACGUGGUAUCCUGUCUGAAUAUGGGGGGACCAUCCUCCAAGGCUAAAUACUCCUGACUGACCGAUAGUGAACCAGUACCGUGAGGGAAAGGCGAAAAGAACCCCGGCGAGGGGAGUGAAAAAGAACCUGAAACCGUGUACGUACAAGCAGUGGGAGCCUCUUAAUGGGGUGACUGCGUACCUUUUGUAUAAUGGGUCAGCGACUUAUAUUCUGUAGCAAGGUUAACCGAAUAGGGGAGCCGAAGGGAAACCGAGUCUUAACUGGGCGUUAAGUUGCAGGGUAUAGACCCGAAACCCGGUGAUCUAGCCAUGGGCAGGUUGAAGGUUGGGUAACACUAACUGGAGGACCGAACCGACUAAUGUUGAAAAAUUAGCGGAUGACUUGUGGCUGGGGGUGAAAGGCCAAUCAAACCGGGAGAUAGCUGGUUCUCCCCGAAAGCUAUUUAGGUAGCGCCUCGUGAAUUCAUCUCCGGGGGUAGAGCACUGUUUCGGCAAGGGGGUCAUCCCGACUUACCAACCCGAUGCAAACUGCGAAUACCGGAGAAUGUUAUCACGGGAGACACACGGCGGGUGCUAACGUCCGUCGUGAAGAGGGAAACAACCCAGACCGCCAGCUAAGGUCCCAAAGUCAUGGUUAAGUGGGAAACGAUGUGGGAAGGCCCAGACAGCCAGGAUGUUGGCUUAGAAGCAGCCAUCAUUUAAAGAAAGCGUAAUAGCUCACUGGUCGAGUCGGCCUGCGCGGAAGAUGUAACGGGGCUAAACCAUGCACCGAAGCUGCGGCAGCGACACUAUGUGUUGUUGGGUAGGGGAGCGUUCUGUAAGCCUGUGAAGGUGGCCUGUGAGGGUUGCUGGAGGUAUCAGAAGUGCGAAUGCUGACAUAAGUAACGAUAAAGCGGGUGAAAAGCCCGCUCGCCGGAAGACCAAGGGUUCCUGUCCAACGUUAAUCGGGGCAGGGUGAGUCGACCCCUAAGGCGAGGCCGAAAGGCGUAGUCGAUGGGAAACAGGUUAAUAUUCCUGUACUUGGUGUUACUGCGAAGGGGGGACGGAGAAGGCUAUGUUGGCCGGGCGACGGUUGUCCCGGUUUAAGCGUGUAGGCUGGUUUUCCAGGCAAAUCCGGAAAAUCAAGGCUGAGGCGUGAUGACGAGGCACUACGGUGCUGAAGCGACAAAUGCCCUGCUUCCAGGAAAAGCCUCUAAGCAUCAGGUAACAUCAAAUCGUACCCCAAACCGACACAGGUGGUCAGGUAGAGAAUACCAAGGCGCUUGAGAGAACUCGGGUGAAGGAACUAGGCAAAAUGGUGCCGUAACUUCGGGAGAAGGCACGCUGAUAUGUAGGUGAAGCGACUUGCUCGUGGAGCUGAAAUCAGUCGAAGAUACCAGCUGGCUGCAACUGUUUAUUAAAAACACAGCACUGUGCAAACACGAAAGUGGACGUAUACGGUGUGACGCCUGCCCGGUGCCGGAAGGUUAAUUGAUGGGGUUAGCGGUAACGCGAAGCUCUUGAUCGAAGCCCCGGUAAACGGCGGCCGUAACUAUAACGGUCCUAAGGUAGCGAAAUUCCUUGUCGGGUAAGUUCCGACCUGCACGAAUGGCGUAAUGAUGGCCAGGCUGUCUCCACCCGAGACUCAGUGAAAUUGAACUCGCUGUGAAGAUGCAGUGUACCCGCGGCAAGACGGAAAGACCCCGUGAACCUUUACUAUAGCUUGACACUGAACAUUGAGCCUUGAUGUGUAGGAUAGGUGGGAGGCUUUGAAGUGUGGACGCCAGUCUGCAUGGAGCCGACCUUGAAAUACCACCCUUUAAUGUUUGAUGUUCUAACGUGGGCCCCUUACCGGGGUUGCGGACAGUGUCUGGUGGGUAGUUUGACUGGGGCGGUCUCCUCCUAAAGAGUAACGGAGGAGCACGAAGGUUGGCUAAUCCUGGUCGGACAUCAGGAGGUUAGUGCAAUGGCAUAAGCCAGCUUGACUGCGAGCGUGACGGCGCGAGCAGGUGCGAAAGCAGGUCAUAGUGAUCCGGUGGUUCUGAAUGGAAGGGCCAUCGCUCAACGGAUAAAAGGUACUCCGGGGAUAACAGGCUGAUACCGCCCAAGAGUUCAUAUCGACGGCGGUGUUUGGCACCUCGAUGUC